CAGCAGCCGCGGGAAUACGUAGGUGGCAAGCGUUGUCCGGAAUUAUUGGGCGUAAAGCGCGCGCAGGUGGUUUAAUAAGUCUGAUGUGAAAGCCCACGGCUCAACCGUGGAGGGUCAUUGGAAACUGUUAAACUUGAGUGCAGGAGAGAAAAGUGGAAUUCCUAGUGUAGCGGUGAAAUGCGUAGAGAUUAGGAGGAACACCAGUGGCGAAGGCGGCUUUUUGGCCUGUAACUGACACUGAGGCGCGAAAGCGUGGGGAGCAAACAGGAUUAGAUACCCCCGUAGUCCCUGUCUCUUAUAA
rnacentral:rRNA from 1 species